UACGUAGGGUGCGAGCGUUGUCCGGAAUUAUUGGGCGUAAAGAGCUCGUAGGCGGUCUGUCGCGUCGAUCGUGAAAACUUGGGGCUUAACCCUGAGCUUGCGGUCGAUACGGGCAUGACUGGAGUUCGGCAGGGGAGACUGGAAUUCCUGGUGUAGCGGUGAAAUGCGUAGAGAUCGUAAGGAAGACCAGUGGCGAAGGCGGGUCUCUGGACAGUUCCUGACACUGAGGCACGAAGGCCAGGGGAGCAAACGGG
rnacentral:rRNA from 1 species